UACGGGGGGGGCAAGCGUUGUUCGGAAUUACUGGGCGUAAAGGGCUCGUAGGUGGCCAACUAAGUCAGACGUGAAAUCCCUCGGCUUAACCGGGGGAACUGCGUCUGAUACUGGAUGGCUUGAGAUUGGGAGAGGGAUGCGGAAUUCCAGGUGUAGCGGUGAAAUGCGUAGAUAUCUGGAGGAACACCGGUGGCGAAGGCGGCAUCCUGGACCAACACUGACGCUGAGGAGCGAAAGCCAGGGGAGCAAACGGG
rnacentral:rRNA from 1 species